AAAGAAAUACUCACAGAAACCCAUGAUACUCAAUGCACGCUCCUAGGAAUGCUAAAUGAUUUUUUCGGGGAGGACGUUAUUGGUCCAUCUUAUAUCAAUUCUGAGUCACAGCCAUUCACCUACAAUUUAGAAUCAUCAUCUCAAUAUGGAUUUCAGACUCCACCACCUAUGCAUGAGUCGCAGACACAGGAACACGAGGGACAGUA
rnacentral:lncRNA from 1 species